rnacentral:piRNA from 1 species
UGAGUUCAAAUUGGAAAUUGCUUGAAAUU